AUGUGCAUGCUUCAGGGAUCAUUUUUGGAGUGUGUAGCCAGGGAUGUGAGAACAAAGAAGGCUGGUCUUGUCAGCCAUGAGGUGACCCAAGAGGCUUUCAUCUGAACAUGAAGUACAGAGAAGGUAUUCUGUUUGCCCUAUUGAAACAUUCUGCUUUUGAUGGCUGUUCUGUUCUUGCAGACAGGACCCAAGGUAGCUUAUGGC